AUUGAACGCUGGCGGCAUGCCUUACACAUGCAAGUCGAACGGUAACAGGUUAAGCUGACGAGUGGCGAACGGGUGAGUAAUACAUCGGAACGUGCCCAGUAGUGGGGGAUAGCCCGGCGAAAGCCGGAUUAAUACCGCAUACGACCUAAGGGGGAAAGGGGGGGAUCGCAAGACCUCUCGCUAUUGGAGCGGCCGAUGUCAGAUUAGCUAGUUGGUGGGGUAAAAGCUCACCAAGGCGACGAUCUGUAGCUGGUCUGAGAGGACGACCAGCCACACUGGGACUGAGACACGGCCCAGACUCCUACGGGGGGCAGCAGUGGGGAAUUUUGGACAAUGGGCGCAAGCCUGAUCCAGCCAUGCCGCGUGCGGGAAGAAGGCCUUCGGGUUGUAAACCGCUUUUGUCAGGGAAGAAAUCCUUUGGGUUAAUACCUCGGGGGGAUGACGGUACCUGAAGAAUAAGCACCGGCUAACUACGUG
rnacentral:rRNA from 1 species